rnacentral:rRNA from 1 species
UACGUAGGGGGCAAGCGUUGUCCGGAAUCAUUGGGCGUAAAGAGCGUGUAGGCGGCCAGAUAAGUCCGCUGUGAAAUCUCGAGGCUCAACUUCGAGCUGUCGGUGGAAACUGUCUGGCUAGAGUCCGGAAGAGGAGAAUGGAAUUCCCGGUGUAGCGGUGAAAUGCGCAGAUAUCAGGAAGAACACCCGUGGCGAAGGCGGUUCUCUGGGACGGUACUGACGCUGAGACGCGAAAGCGUGGGGAGCGAACAGG